GAAUCGAAUGGACCAUGAUCAGUAAAAAUUUACAUGAAGAAUGGAAUGCAUCACAUUAUUCAUGCGAGAAAUCAGAGCUCGUCACGCCGCAUGGACACCACCACCGCCGGUGAAAACGCUGCAUGCUAAACUGUCUCUCAAUCCCUCGCUCUGUCACAGACUGUCACAUUCAGGAAAACAGGUCUAUAACACGUGUGAAGAUGAGAAGAUGAGCGUUCAAGCCAACAUGAAAUCCACGAUUAUCUGACAGGCAGGCCACAGUUUCUGAGAUUACAGGGUUGUGUGUUUGAACGUCUGAUAAGUAACAUCGAGGACCCCCAGGGAACUGUACUAUCUCCCUAUCUGAACUUGAAGCUCAUUACACUCAUAUAUUUUAGACUUGUAAAAUAAUAAUAAUAAUAAUAAUAAAAAUUGGACAGAAGUAAUUCAGAUAAUGGAAGAACUUUUUAAGAAAUCAAAUAUAAUAGAGAUACAAAAUCUAGUUUUGUGUAUAGGACAUAUGCUACUUAGUAAAGAUGAGUUAUUUAUUUAGAAUACUGAGAAUUUUAAACCAGUAACACAAUUUUGUAGAAGGCAAGAAUCCCCAGUUUUAAAUCAUUGGUUAGAUUUAGUUUCUAAAGUACACUCUAUGGAGAGGAUAACGUACGAAAUUAAGAGUAAAAAUAUACAUUUUGAAAAGAUACGGACACCUCUAAAAUCAAAGUAUACACUAUAAAAUAAAGGAAUCGAUAUCAUAUUAAUUACCUUUUUAUAUAAUUCUGCCUCCCUUUCAAUUUAUUCAUUUAAUUUAUUUAAUAUUAUUAUUAAUUGAUGUUUAAAAAAGAUUAUUUGAAAUACUUAUUAGGAUUAAGGUGUCAUUAUAAUUUUAUUAAUUGUUGCUUUUUUUUAUAUAUAUAUAUAUAUAUAUAUAUAUAUACACACACACACACUGUAUAUAAUGUUACAAAAGAUUUCAAAUUAAUGCUGUAAUUUUAAACUUUGUUAAUAAUCAGAAAUGUUUCUUGAGCAAACAGCAUAUUAGAAUGAUUUCUGAAGGAACAUGUUACAUGAGAAGAGAUGAUUCCAACCCCUCAGAAGACCUCAGAUGACGCCACCCCUCAGACAACAUACAAAACUACCAAAUCUUGCUAUAAGUUUGAUCGCAACAUGUAAUCAUCUCUGUUAAUAGUGUUCACCGUCUGUUUGAUUACAGUACAUGUCAUUAUCUAACUGCUUGAAUUUUACCAUACAUUUCUGCCAUAUUGACAUCAACUUGAGAUACCACUGAUAAGCUAUUACUAAAUAUAAUGUAGAAACUUAAAUUUUCUGUAAAGCUGCUUUGCAAUGAUUUGCAUGGUGAAAAGCGCUAUACAAAUAAACUUGAGUUGAAUUGAACACUGAAGACUGGAGUAAUGAUUCUGAAAAUUCAGCUUUGAUCACAGGAAUAAAUUACAUUUUACAAUAUAUUCAAAUAGAAAACAGCUUGUUUAAAUUAUAAUAAUAUUUCACAAUAUAUUACAAUCCACCCACCUCUAAACAAGGUGAAGGUGGUUGGUUGGAAGGGGCUGAAAUGUAAAGGGAUUAGUGAUGCAAACUGGAAAGGAAGCUUGGCUAGGUAUUUUGAAAGAUUAUAAAGAUAACCUUUUUUUUUUUCAUUUGAAUUAACAUGCACCAAUGAAUCAUUCACAAUGAGACCAAGAACAUGUAUAAAGAAAGUACAUAGAGUCAGUUCUGAUUUCAUGUUGACAUUGAGCCUUCAUUAAAGAGUUGAAUAGACUGAUUCAAUGGCAUUGCAUGGCUUCUUUUAGAUGCAUGUAGAACAAGGCAAUUCAUGCAGACAGCAACAGUAGAGAUCAUGAGUUCAUGGGCUGUAGCCGGCAAAAUGUUUAUUCUGCUUCCAUAAGAACGCACAAAGCUAUGUAACCAAGGUGACAGUUAUCAGAUAUUAUACUAAUUUCAUCAUAAAUACCACUGUAUUCAGCAUAUUCAGUAGUUACGAGCCAUGCACAGACAGGUUUGUACAUCGAGGAAAUAUUGCAAUAUUGCAAACCUUGAAGAGACGAUUACACCUG
ensembl:lncRNA